AAAUAAAUGCCAUUAUUUUCGGGCUUAUAACCCGAAGGUCUUAGGUUCAAAUCCUAC
rnacentral:tRNA from 1 species